UUCGCAAUGCCCGAAAGGGUGACUAUGCGACGCCGCGUGGAGGAUGAAGGCCUUCGGGUUGUAAACUCCUGUCAAGGGGGAAGAAACUUUACCGUUUAAGAGAUGGUAAACUGACAUCACCCCUAAAGGAAGCCACGGCUAACUCUGUGCCAGCAACCGCGGUAAGACGAAGGUGGCUAGCGUUGCUCGGAUUUACUGGGCAUAAAGCGCGCGUAGGUGGUCGUGUAAGCGGGGGAUGAAAGCCCAUGGCUCACCCAUGGAACUGUCCCCCGGACUGCACGGCUCGAGGAAGGAAGGGGAGGAUGGAAUUCCCGGUGUAGCGGUGAAAUGUGUAGAUAUCGGGAGGAACGCCGGUGGCGAAAGCGAUUCUCUGGUCCUUUCCUGACACUGAGGCGCGAAAGCUAGGGGAGCAAACAGGAUUAGAUACCCUGGUAGUCCUAGCAGUAAACGAUGGGCACUAAGUAGAGGGGUUUU
rnacentral:rRNA from 1 species